GAUGAAGAACGCAGCGAAAUGCGAUAAGUAAUGUGAAUUGCAGAAUUCCGUGAAUCAUCGAAUCUUUGAACGCACAUUGCGCCCGCCAGUAUUCUGGCGGGCAUGCCUGUUCGAGCGUCAUUACAACCCUCAGGCCCCCGGGCCUGGCGUUGGGGAUCGGCGGAAGCCCCCUGUGGGCACACGCCGUCCCUCAAAUACAGUGGCGGUCCCGCCGCAGCUUCCAUUGCGUAGUAGCUAACACCUCGCAACUGGAGAGCGGCGCGGCCAUGCCGUAAAACACCCAACUUCUGAAUGUUGACCUCGAAUCAGGUAGGAAUACCCGCUGAACUUAAGCAUAUCAAUAAGCGGAGGA
rnacentral:misc_RNA from 1 species